rnacentral:rRNA from 1 species
AUGAACCCCACCUCGGCGCCAGGUCCUGACGGCCUCCCGGUUAAGUUCUUCCAGACCUUCUGGAACGUGAUUAAACCUGAGGUCAUGGCCAUCUUCGAAGAGUUCUACGUUGGGUCCAUUGACCUCGGUCGCCUAAACUUUGGGAUAAUCUCCCUCAUCCCCAAGGUGCCUGGCGCGUCCGACAUUCGCCAGUUUCGCCCGAUCACGGUUAUCAACGUGAUCUUCCAGAUUCUUGCAAAAGGGUACGCCAAUAGGGUGACCCUUCUUGCAGAUCGCAUUACUUACCCCAACCAGUCCGCCUUCAUCCGGGGCCGGUAUAUACUAGAUGGGGUCCUUGUCCUUCAUGAAGUACUCCAUGAGGUCCGCGCCAAACACCUCAAGGCGGUCUUCUUGAAGAUUGAUUUCCAUAAGGCCUAUGAUACUGUUAGUUGGUCCUUCCUUUGGGAAGUGUUACUCCGGAAGGGCUUCAACGAUCGUUGGAUCACCAGAGUU